CCCUUUCUUUGGAAUCUGACUGGUCUGGUUUCCUCGCGGGUUCCCUUGCUUCUUCAGCUGUGGAUCCAGCUACUGCAGCAAUCUAUUGACCCAACACGGAGCUCUGUUGCAAGAACUACACUUUCAACAAAGAAUUCCGGAAAUGGCCAAUUCAGUUAGCGCAGUCAAUACAGACGAACACCUUCCUUGUGCGAAAGCCGUUGUUACUUGUUCCCUUGACUAGAGUAUCGGAUUGACUCACCCCUUUCCAACUUGAAUAGACUGACCUUGACUAGAGUAUCGGAUUGACUCACCCCUUUCCAACUUGAAUAGACUGACUCAGGACCUGGAAUCUAUAAGCUAGGCGCCUCCCCUACCCCGGUAAUUGAACUUGUCAAAAGAGUUGAUGGCUCCUGAAGCGCUAAGUGGUCCAGUCCAGACUUAUAUACGAGCUUACUACUCUUGAACUGAAUUCUCACACGUUACGCGGAUCUUUCCUUGACUUCUUCUGGGCUUGCUUCUUCAGUGCUAAGUCAAUCAGUGUCAUAAUAGAGAAAAGAGAAAAAAGUAAUUAGACAUAGGUUAAGCAGUAUCAAGUAAGCAAACAACAAGCGGGAAAGAUGUAGUUCGGGCAAUCAGAUCUUCUAGACCAACUUAUGCUUCCGCGUAAGGAAAUAUACCAGUUUGCUGUCUCGGUGCGUAAGGCGUUGGGCUGUAACCUCUAUUUCCGUAUUUCAGGUAUCCAACCUAACCUCUAUUUCCGAUCGUUUAACCUAUGGGAAACUACUCUUAUGGAAAAUCUAUCAUGGAAGACCCGAUCACCAGCUACAAAUGCAUUGACGCCUAUAACAUCUUAUUUGUUCUUAGUCACUCUCAAGGACAGGACCUCCUUACUGAGUUAGAUGCGCUUAGGUUCCUUAUUGGUUUUGUUGGCGCAAGAAGAAGGAUCAGAGUUCAAAGAAGGAGAUCAAAUCAGAGAGAUGCCCUGACAAGCUAAAAAGAUUCGCGCGCUUAAGGGGCACAGUUAUAUUGAAAUGAACUUAAGGGGCACAGUUAUAUUGAAAUGCAGAAUUCAGGUUUGUUUGCGAGAUAUCAAUUCCUAUGUUAGAUAUCAAUUCCUAUGUUAAUAGAGCAUCCGUGAAAGAUCAAAUGCAUUCCGUGUUUUCCUAGGCGCAUUAGGAAAGGUUCUUGAAUCACUAACCAUUAGGAAAGGUUCUUGAAUCUCCAUCUUAUAUAGCUAUUGCAUCCGUUAAGAAAUUUAGACGAGCCCCACUAGACUAGCCAAUUACGAUAAGGGGGUUCUCUUGAAACUUUACCGACGCAGUUCAAAACAGGACAUAACUCACUUUAGCUAUUAAUUUGUUGAGCUCCUGACGCCGAAAACUGGAAUUGUAAUAGAGUCAAGUAGUCAAUUAAGCAAGUUGUAUAACCCAUGUGUGAAGCAAGUAGUCAAUUAUGUCUUGUGGGAAAGUAGACAGUAGUCGCUUGUUUAGUAGUCCCUUGCCUUCUUGGUUAUACGUUACUUGGCGAGUGGAAUCGUAAGCAGUGCCUGGAAACUCCGCUCUAUAAGAAUAAGUUCGAGGUAAGGAAACUCUCAGACAAGCUACUAUUAAUGUAGCGCUAACGGCUUAUUGAAUGGAGGCAGGCACCCUUUCCCUUGUUUUAAUAAGAUAAGAUUGAGAAUGAGACAAGAACACCUGGUGUUCAAGAACAAGUACUACCGGUCUGUAACUCCCUUAUUCUUAUUCUCGGUUCGGCUCCUCUACCUCUGGCUCUAGUACUGUUUCUUGGCC
rnacentral:lncRNA from 1 species